rnacentral:rRNA from 1 species
UACAGAGGUGGCAAGCGUUGUUCGGAAUUACUGGGCGUAAAGGGCGCGUAGGCGGUCUUCUAAGUCUUGUGUGAAAUCCCUCGGCUUAACUGAGGAACUGCACGGGAUACUGGAAGACUUGAGUUCGGGAGAGGGAAGCGGAAUUCCGGGUGUAGCGGUGAAAUGCGUAGAUAUCCGGAGGAACACCGGUGGCGAAGGCGGCUUCCUGGACCGACACUGACGCUGAGGCGCGAAAGCUAGGGGAGCAAACGGG